CAACUCAAAAAUAGAGGUCCGCCUGCCCUGUGACUAUUUGUUUAACGGCCGCGGUAUUUUGACCGUGCGAAGGUAGCGCAAUCACUUGUCUUUUAAAUGGAGACCCGUAUGAAUGGCAUAACGAGGGCUUAACUGUCUCCUCUUUCAGGUCAAUGAAAUUGAUCUUCCCGUGCAGAAGCGGGAAUAAAAACAUAAGACGAGAAGACCCUAUGGAGCUUUAGACACCAAGGCGGCCCACGUUAAACACCCCCGGAUAAGGGGCUAAACCAAGUGAACCCCGCCCUAAUGUCUUUAGGUUGGGGCGACCGCGGGGAAUUACAAAACCCCCACGUGGAAUGGGAAUACCCCUCCUACAGCUAAGAGCUACAGCUCUAGUAAACAGAAAUUCUGACCAACAAGAUCCGGCAGCGCCGAUCAAACGGACCGAGUUACCCUAGGGAUAACAGCGCAAUCCUCUUUUAGAGCCCAUAUCGACAAGGGGUC
rnacentral:rRNA from 1 species